rnacentral:rRNA from 1 species
UAGGGAAUCUUCCGCAAUGGACGACAGUCUGACGGAGCAACGCCGCGUGAGUGAAGAAGGAUUUCGGUUCGUAAAACUCUGUUGUUAGGGAAGAAAAAAUGUAUAGUAACUAUAUACAAAAGAGACGGUACCUAACCAGAAAGCCACGGCUAACUACGUGCCAGCAGCCGCGGUAAUACGUAGGUGGCAAGCGUUGUCCGGAAUUAUUGGGCGUAAAGCGCGCGCAGGUGGUUUAGAAAGUCUGAUGUGAAAGCCCACGGCUCAACCGUGGAGGGUCAUUGGAAACUAAUAAACUUGAGUGCAGGAGAGAAAGGUGGAAUUCCUAGUGUAGCGGUGAAAUGCGUAGAGAUUAGGAGGAACACCGGUGGCGAAAGCGGCUUUUUGGCCUGCAACUGACACUGAGGCGCGAAAGCGUGGGGAGCAAACAGG